CCUACGGGAGACAGCAGUGGGGGAUAUUGCACAAUGGGGGAAACCCUGAUGCAGCGACGCCGCGUGGGUGAAGAAGCGCCUCGGCGCGUAAAGCCCUGUCAGCAGGGAAGAAAAUGACGGUAUCUGAAGAAGAAGCCCCGGCUAACUACGUGCCAGCAGCCGCGGUAAUACGUAGGGGGCAAGCGUUACCCGGAUUUACUGGGCGUAAAGGGGGCGCAGACGGCGAUGCAAGCCAGGGGUGAAAGCCCGGGGCCCAACCCUGGGACUGCACUUGGAACUGCGUGGCUAGAGUGCAGGAGGGGCAGGCGGAAUUCCUGGUGUAGCGGUGAAAUGCGUAGAUAUCAGGAGGAACACCGGUGGCGAAGGCGGCCUGCUGGACUGCAACUGACGUUGAGGCGCGAAAGCGUGGGGAGCAAACAGGAUUAGAUACCCGAGUAGUC
rnacentral:rRNA from 1 species